AGGGGCUCUGUGGGGACGGCGGUGGUGCAGGGCGACGGGGAACGUGUAGCGUGUGUUUGAAGUCCUUAUGGAGGGAGAUAAAAGUCAAAAUGUCAUCAGAAAAGAUUGUUCAAACUGUAUUACGCACACAAUGUGCCAAGUGUGCCUCUGAUACACGUCUGCUUAAGGGAUUUACCCUAAUGCGUUAUGCAAUAUUCAAUUCAAUAGUUGGGUCAUCCAAUAGUUGGACCUUUCAAUCAUUUGGCAAACAAGAAAAAGGGAUUUUAGAUUUGAUUUAACUAACGAAACACAAAGAAGAAAUUUAAUGCGACAAGUGUGAUGUAAGGGUUGUCUUUCUAAGAGUUUUAUUCUGCUCUCUCGUUUGUCCGGCGAGCGACAGCUGCACAGGAGACAGGAGACACCCCUCAGAAAUGUAACUGCCCCAAUCACUCACAAAUGGCAAAUUGUGCCGUGCGAAGUUAAAAAAAAGCUGUGUUUGUUCUAGCUGAACACAUGCGGACCUCACCGCCCUGUCCCCACGAGGAUCAGGUUGGACCUGACCGGAUCCACCAACUCGGGACGGCGCCAACAGCGCACUGUGCGUAAAAGCAAAAGGCGUUAUGUAGGCCUAUCAUUUCCUAGAAUUAUGGGUCCCCGUCCCCAUCCAGUAACGGCGGCUACUGUAAUCCCCUCUGCCUUCCAGGGGAUUGAGCCUAAAACCAGCUUUCAACGAAAACCUCACGCAGGCUCUGUGUGAGUGGCGUCUGGUUCCGUAAAAGCCAAACCUUUGAGUCUCAGUCUUCUGUAGUUGGCCUAUUUACAUUCUAGAUGGUUUGGUUUCCGGUGCAAUGUGUCUGCUGCUCGAGGUAAUUAUUUAGACUCCAUUGCAGUUGAUUAAUCGUGACCUGGUUCUCACAAUUGUGGUUUUGCUGGCUGGAUUAUUGGACCUAUAAAUCCUUGAAGAGGCCUCAAAUGUAUCUAAUGAGUGUCACAUUGUAGGACAGACUUAGAAAGACCUCAGAGGACCCGACAACAGGUCCUCUGCCGGCCCCCAGAAGUUAUUGUGCUUAUGAAGUCUUCCUUCCAAAACCAAUAAUCGGUCAAUUGUUCAAACGAUCAUCCCUCCUCACCCAAGGAAGAGCGGUAUAGAUGACCAAACUGUGGACUUCAGCCGAAAGAGCUUAAAACCAGCUCUGUUUUGGCUCCGUUGGUCCCAGAGAAUAAGGAGGGUAUUUUGUCGUGAAGGCCCCCACUUUGAUGCCCCUCAUUGGUUUUCCUUCCACUUGGCGGCCAAUUAAUCACAGAGUGAAGGCAGCGGGGGUGGGACCAGACCCAACAAAUCAUUAACGUACCAGACGAAAAGAAACAUGUGGUAAAGGAAGGAACAGGAGAAUGGCCCUGGGGAGAGUGGUCCCAAUAACGAGGGCUGACUGUGUGUGGGGAGAGGUCCCCACAACGAGGGCUGACUGUGUGUGGGGAGAAGUCCACACAGCGAGGGCUGACUGUGUGUGUGUGGAGAGAGGUCCCCACAAUGAAGGCUGACUGUGUGUGUGUGUGUGUGUGUGUGUGUGUGUGUGUGUGUGUGUGUGUGUGUGUGUGUGGACACAGGUCCCCACAAUGAGGGCUGACUUUGUGUGUUGGGAGAGGUCCCAACAAUGAGGGCUGACUGUGUGUGUGUGGGGGAAGAUGUCUCCACAACGAGGGUUGACUGUGUGUGUGGAGAGAGGUCGCCAAAACGAGGGCUGUCUGUGUGUGUGUGUGUGUGUGUGUGUGUGUGUGUGGACAGAGGUCCCAACAAUGAGGGCUGACUGUGUGUGUGUGUGGGGAGAGGUCCCCACAAAAAGGGCUGACUGUGUGUGUGUGUGUAGGGAGAGGUCCCCACAACGAGGGCUGUGUGUUUGUGUUUGUGUGUGUGUGUGUGUGUGUGUGUGUGUGUGUGUGUGUGUGUGUGUGUGUGUGUGUGUGUGUGUGUGUGUGUGUGUGUUAGGGUCAUACAGCUGCCACAGCUCAGUCUGGCAGCAACAGGUGGAGAGGAGUGACGGAGAACAAUACAGCCACUUCACCCUCCAUACAGACCUCUACAUCUACGUGGAGGACAUGCUGACAGACGGACAGAGGGACAUAAAGUCAGAUUGAUAGAUGGACAGAAAGACGGACAGGUCAUCUUUUUGGACAAACAUUUACCAAGAGGAGUCGUUACACUGCCUUUAUAGGAGCAGGGAGCAGAGAGAAGAGAGGAGAGAGGAGAGUGGGGAGAGCAGUCCGUAACUUCUACCUGAACUCUCCUAUUGAAACCCCCAGGGUCAACAGCUCCCCUGUGGCGGGAGCUGGGGGCCAGGGCACCUCCGUUCUCCUCCGCUUACUGAACCGCCUUCCUUGGAAAACCAACUGGGUCACCCCCCCCGUCCCCGUCCCCUAGACCAGAUGAACUCCAGCGCUCAGCACAGGGGUCCUGGCUCCAGUGGCAGGGGGGAUUAUGAGCUACAUUUGAUGUGCGCCGCAGGGGGGGUCUCAGGAGACC